UCGCGUCGUCUCCCCUUUCCAGCUCCCGGUCGAUGCACUUUGCGCAACCGCCUUCACAAAUCGAUUCCGGCCAGCUCCGGCGAAGCCUCGCGCCGCUCAUCUCCGCGCCAACACCAGAUCCUCCUUCCCCACAGGCUCCAUGGCUUAGAGCCUUCAAUCUGCAGUCCCUCGACGAGCAGGAUCCCGGCCUUUCGUCGCCGCCGCGUGGUUCCUCGAGCUCCGGCAUGUCUUCCUCCUAGUUCCCCAUCUCCGGCCACUCUUCCCGCUCCAUCCUAUCUCCCUAUCCCAUCCCUCUCUAGGCCAGACACCUUCGGGAGCCCAUUCGACGGGCGAGGCUGCCGGUGUGAUGGCCUGUGAACCGCGGACGGUGGGAGGAGCUCCCGUUGGCGCUCGAUUGGCGGCGGGGAGGCUCGGAUGAAGAGAUGCUGGUCUCCUGCCAGCGACCAGCGCACCGAGCUGUUGCUGGCGACCACAGGCAGACUGAUGGCAGUGUCAAGUUGUUUGCCCCCAAGGCACACCUCAGGAGCUCGUCGACAUUGGCACCCCAAGGUGUGCUUCAAAUGCACAUGCAAAGAAGAGGCGCCAUAGAAGUGGUUGGGCUACCCCUGGCAAUGUCCAUGGUGCUGGUCCUAGAAUGACGGGGAGCAAGGUGUUCGUGGUGCCGCACAAGCCCAAUGGUUAUGUAACUUAUGUCUUCCCGCCCCCUGUGGUCCGAGAGCCGAAAGGCACCCUUGCCCCGGCCUAUCUGCUGGAAGACGCAAGGUUGCUGCUGCAAUUGGGAGGUGGAUCCUUCAUCUAUGUCAAGGUCUAUUACUAGUUUUUUCUUCUCUGAUUUGCAAGCGAAUGAAUUUUUUUUUGCUUGGGCUUGAGUGGCUCAACAUGGAAAAGUUCAUCCAAUCCCACAUUUCAGCAGCCAAGCCUAUCUUCGUCAUCUGAUUGAUCCUUUAUUUUCUCGAAAGACCCUUCUCUACAUGAUUUUAUUGGGUAAAGCAGUGAGGCAUGUAUUUGCAUGGGUGCAUGAAACUAUAAGGUGAUCUCGUAAAUGCGGCGCUGGAGCAUGUGAAGGUGCAGUUGGGGUCCCAUCUAUGUGAAGAGGGAGGACAUGGAUGGGAUGCUGGACUGGGUGAGGGUGCUCGCCGAGAGUGUCUCAGAAGUAGGUGGAAUGGCCACCAGAUUGAUGGAUUGGUACUUCCUGGAGGUGCGGGGGCGGUGGCCAGGAAGAGGGUUCAUCACACGUUAGUGUCAAAUGUCUAGUUCUUUUUAGGAGUGCGAAGAGCAGUAGAUGACAACUAGGGUAGCUAGCUGGAACAUUACCUGGUGCAGCCUCACUUGGAAGGAAGCUGGAAGACCCCGGGGACAAGGAUAUGUCAUCAUGAUGGUGGCAGCGGUUGCUUCUUCUUCCGCUCCGUGGUUAGGUAAAAGUUCUUGGGUUUCUUUUUUUUUCCACAUGUGCUUUGUAAAGCCUAUGGUGUGUUCUCGCCAUCUAUUCGAUGAGCAAUACCCUGAAUUAUGGUGAUGGUUGUCAUUUGGCGAUGUAGCUUUUAAGUUGUGUUGCUAUGAAAUCGACAUGAAGGCUGGGUUCAUUAUAGGUAGUAUUUCUGGCAAGCCAUUGUGGUUGAUUGUCUUCCUGAUGUUGGCCUAAUAUUUAUUUAUGAACUCCGUAGUCGGUAUCGAGUUGACUUGGUGAUGCUUUGCUUGUUCUGUGUCAACAUAUCUAGGUCUGGUUGUUAUAGUCUACAUAUAUUGUUCCGUGUCUUGACAGAAAUACAGUACUGUUAGCAUUGCGUGUGGCUCUGUGAUGAUAAUUAUUCUUCUUAAUACGUAUACAUAUCAUGGCUUGUUAACCUUGAUUGCUCUUAUCUUGAGAUUAUCCUAGAAUACUUCAAAUGUCGAUUGAUAGCUUGGGCUUUAGACUAGAUCCAGGAUGCUUGCAGAUUUCAUUGGCAUGGUAAGAAUUCAAUAUGUAAUGAUUUUUCUGGUAACUUGUCUCUACUUAUGCUUACAUGUGGGGUCCCAAUUUGCUCAUACUAGAGCUCGAUUUUCCUCUGCGUAUUUAUCUAAUACCAACUAGUUGUGUUGACUACUUCAUCUCUUUUGAAAACAUGAGCACAAAUAUUGAGGUAUUACUUAUUAGUAUUAACUGUCAUGUAUUUAUGUUGUUUACCCGUGUAUGGCAUCAUGUGUGUUAAGUAUUCGCGAUUGAAGCAAGCAAGCAGAGUUCAGCUAGUUUUCUACUAGUUGACACUUGGCAGUAUGUUCCACUCCUUCUGAUUUCGUGCACUCUCAAGUCUAUUGAUUUUAUUCGUCAGCAAUACUUUUUAACGAAGCCAUGUUGAAUGUGUGAUCAAAACAAUCCUGCAAUGUCCUAUAUGCUUUCAUACUUAAUAGUUAAACAACAAUAUGGAGUAACAAAUAAUAGAAAAUAGAAACCAUUCUCCACUUGGAUGUCUUACUUUAAAAAAUCAUCUUGUUCUUUUGCACUUCAUAAAAUUCAGUACCAGACACUGCUUUCUAUAUAAGUGAUUCACAGCUUCUCAAUGCUCCUCUUCAAAACCAUUUGUUUAAGUCCAUAUUAUUAGUUUUGAUGCUACUGUAGUACAUGACAAGGAAAAGAGCAAAGAGAGGACAUAUGUGAAUUGUGCUAUAUUGCGCUGCUCUUGGAUUUGGUUAUCUGACAUACUUGCUACUUUCAGCAUUAUCGCGUGACUUUAUCCAGCUAAAGAACAUUUAGAAAUUUACAAUUGGAACUUAGAAUCUAGGCAUUUAGUUUGUUAUUUCCUUCACAGUGGUAUCAUCUUGAUUUUUUUAUAGUUGGAUUUGAAACGGUGUGAUACGGUUGGAAUUGAAACGGUUAUUAUGGUGGUUGAACUGAUGAGGAGUCAAGCAAUGUAGUUUUGUGGUAUUUCAGAGUUUUUGUUAGGUAGAUCCAGUGUAUGUAACUGUAUCUAUCGAUUUGUGGUUAGUCUCUUUGAUCGUGUAGUCCUAAAAAUUGUUAUAUCUAUAACUUCUGUUAACAUGCUUAGACGUGUACAAAGUACUCCAAGAAUAGCAUAAUCUACGGGAGGUAGUGGAAUAUUAUUUGACCUCGCAGUCAUCACGUGUAGUAUAUGAAAUUGCGAACACUCAUAUUUGUUUAAUAGUGGCUUCUUGUGUCGUGGAGUGACUCUUUCUUGUAAUUUUGUUUUGUCGUGCAACCUAGCUUCUUGUUCAAGCAGUUGUAGUCGGAUGGAACGCUGGUGCAGUUAGCUGAUUGUUGUGGCGCUGCCUCCUGUUGUUUUGCAUGAGCGAGCUACAUGUGUUGUGCCUAUCAUGCUGCCAAACUCCUCCUGGAAGAUCUAGGUUUGUGGCUUUUCUCCAACAGGACUCCUACUAAUAGCAAGUAUUGCACUUGGUAUUUAGAGCUUUCCUUUGCUAGUAUAUCAUCGAUUGUCUCAUCAGAACUGUAAAGCCUAUGUAGGCUAGCUUCACAUUAGCUCACCUAGUUUUAUGAUUUGACUUCAACUAACAUUACAAUCCAGGUUUAAACAUAAAAUUAACCAACAUUAAUAAGCUAAUACCCUGAAUUAUGGUGAUAGUGGUCAUUUGGCUAUGUAGCUUCAAAGUUGUGUUGCUAUGAAAUUGACAUGUAGGCCCGGUUUGUUAUAGGUAGUAUUUCCCUUAAGCCACUGUAGUUAAUUGUUUGGUGUUGUUGGCCUACUAUUUGUUUAUGAACACCGCUAGUUGGUACUCUGUUGACUUGAUGAUGCUUUGCUUGUUCUGUGUCCAUAAUAUCUAGGCAUGGCUGUUAUAGUCUACAUAGUUCUGUGUCUUUACAGAAAUUCAGUGAACCAUUGAAUUGUACAAGUUGAUAGUUUGCUAAAUUUGCGCAUGUCUCGGACCCUAUCAGAACUGGACAAUGUCUUUUCCAUCUUAUGAGCAUUGAACAGUAGUUAGUUCAAUGCUACUACUGAAGAUGUGAUGAAGAUAUCCUGCUACUGAAUCUUCAUCUUUUCAGGUUUGGAGGCUUUGCUACAACUUGGCAUGAACAACCAUUUGAAUAUGAAACUACAGGAGUUGAAUCGUAUGUUGUUGAUGUGUGUUCGCCGAAUGAGUUCGUCUCGUGUGCCUGUUCAUGUCCUCCUUCCAGUUUCAAGAUUCUUUUUGGUAAUGCCAUGAAGGAAUGAAGAACCAUUGUGAUAAUAAAAACCUUUGCAGCAAUGAAGAUAUUGUGUUUGUGAUGCUAUUUCUGAAUUGUUAUAUUUUGCAAAUUUAUACGGGUGCAAUGCUAGAAAUAAA